AUCUUAUGUGCUGGCCUUGGUGGGAGAGGAGAGGAGAGGAGAGCCGAGGUCUCCCUGAGAGGCUGGGACUGAGUGGAACAGCUUCAACAGGAGAGACUGAGCAAGCCCCACAUCAGAAUAUCCCAAGGCUCAGUGGUUAAAGCCCUCUCCUGAGAAGAUCUGAACAGGGCUCUUCUUCCUUUGUCCCCAUCAAGCAAAGGGGUGGGUUUGAACCUGGGUCUCCCAUGUCCCAGAUAUUUCUCUCCCCAAAUCCUCUUCCGAUAGCCUCAGGAAUCUGUUUUACAAUCCUCACUGGUGUAAUUAGCGCUUCAUAAUAUUAAGAACCAUCGAGUCCUUUCUGCUGUGCAUCUCUGGGAAUCAAAACACCUGACUUAUCUAAUUAAUCACUCCCUGAUUCUUCUGUGACCAUGUUACAUAAAACACUUGUACAUAAAAUAAUCAUUGCAUGAAACAAAUGUUGCAUAAAACAAUUCUGUGUAUCUGAAUAAUUUUAUUUUUCCAUUGUUCUUGUCUCCAGUAUGAGGCCAUCAUGACAGACAAAGUUAUUUAGUUGUAUUGCUUUUCAAAGUGUGGCCAACAGACUAUGGGUUGUUCCUGGACCACUUCCAGGUGGUAUGUAGAGCUGUCUUCGUCACAAUGGUGAAGCAUGUCCAUUUUCAGGAAAUGAUGCUUCUUCCUACAUGUGCCUUGUUUGGCUAGUUAAGCUUAACACAAUGAGCCUUUCUGUGCACCCUUUAUGGCUGCUUAGUGUCUUUUAUUCUGGCUGUUUCUUUGACAUAAAUCCAACUGUGAGCAAGUUUGCAAAUUACACAAAAAUUGAGGAGGACUGAAUACACAGGAAAGGGCUGAACUGCAAAGUCAAUUGGAGAAUGCAGGAGGAAGGCUAAUGUAGGUAAUAAUGCACUGGACUGGCAUCCAGGAGCUUCAUUUCCUGGUUUUGCUACAGACUAGUUGUGUGACUUUUGGCAAGUCAUGUCUAUCUGUGCUUCAGUUCCCCAUCUGUAAAGUUUGUCUUUCUCCCAUUAUUUGUCUGAAUUGUCUAUUAUAUUGUAAACUGUUCAGGAUAGGAUUCUCUUACUAUUUUUGUACAGCACCAUAAAAUCGGUCACCUAGCACAGUUGGUGCCUAUCAGGCUACCCAAAUGGUCCAUAAUUUAAGAAGAACAGUAGGAGAGAAAUACUACAGGUAUUUAAUCCUAGUAAAUAUGAUGUAUCAAUACCCUGAAGAGCAUGGAACGGCACAAACUGGAACUUGCAUUAUUGUGCAUUGUAGAGGUUUGUAGGAACACUUUUUUUUUUUUUUUUUUUUUUUUUUUAAAGAAAAGUCUGAACCAAAACCUUGGCUUCAGAUUGAUCUGGACUUUGGGUAUAUUUGAGGUCUGAACCCACAUCUAGAUCCAAAUUUUGCAACAGGCCCUUUUCAAAAUGUUCUGGACUAAAACACUGCGUGAUCAAGAUACAGAACUGAACUGUGUGGCUUAGGUCCAUCUCUAACAUCAAUCCAUAUAUUCUUUUCACACAGCACUUCUUCAUGAAGGGCUUCCAUUUUGAACUAUUCCCAAAUCUCAAAGAGCAAAACAUCCACUAAGGUUUAUGUCAAAAUAUGUGAAACUUGCAGAUUUGUCAUGGUUUCAAUACAAAGCUGUAAACCAGUACAGAUCUGCUCAAAAUUGGGCUCAGACUCAGUUACAACUAUGUGCAGGCUUGCUUGAAGAUUAAUGGAUGAGAGGAAGCCUUUUCAAUAAGCCUGGUCUGCAUUCUUUUUUCAGAAUGGGUGAGUUUUAAUGGGUGUGGGGUUUUGCCUUGCUCAUAUUGCACAGUGCCAUUGGGCACACUUUCCCUUGUGGGAAAGCAACAACUUGGAAUGCGCUCUAUUUGCGGUGAUGAUAUGGCAACUUAAGGGAGCAGGACAGAGGACACAUCAGGGGAAUUUGUACGAAAGCUUAAAGCAGGUUUUGAACCUAUGAAAUCUAAUAAAGCUAUGAAACACACUUUUUGCUUUAGCCUAUAUUCGAGAGGAGCUAAGGGAAUUUGCAGAGGUUAGCAGCCAGUGACGGUAUAAUAUUGAGUUGCACUAUUUGAAGGCCACAAAUGCUUUUAAACUUGAUAGGCUUAAAUGUCUUCCAUUAUUGGCCCAUGUGCCCAAUUCCCCAGUGCUUUGUACAUAAUGUAGUUAUGUGUAUCUGUGUAAAGCAAAUGUAAAAUGCUGCCAUUGAUUUUUGUAGUAUCUUACACCC